rnacentral:tRNA from 1 species
GUAUGGAUAGCUAAGUUGAUAGAGCGUUAUGUUAAUAACGUGAAUGUCAUAGGUUCGAUUCCUAUACUGGUCA